ACACAUUAUAAUAUAAUAUAUCAGCCAAAAAUACAGAAUUAGAAUAGAUCCUAGAUAAGACUCAUCCUAUUACUAUAAAUGCAAUAUUGCCUUAAAAUUAGGGAGAAACAUCCAGAAAACUUUAUUUAAAAAAAUGCAGUAAUAUGCUUGACUUACAGAACCUAGAAAAAAAUUCCAUCAGAUAUAGAUGCAUAAACCUAUAGUUAAUUUAAAAAAGCUAAUAAAGAAGAAAAACUAAAAACAUAUUUAGGAUUUACUAGAAGGAAUAUACUGUUCAGUAUGCUCAGGAAUGAUAAAGAUCAGAUUUUGGUAAAGAAAAGUAUGUAGACUAUAUGCUCUACCAUGAGUGUUUUCCAGCCUGUAAUGAGCUUUAUAAGUAACAGUUGCCAGAUAGAUUAUCCUAUGAGGAUAUGGGAGCUGAAACAAAUGGGGGACCCAUAGACAGAAUGACAGGUUUUAGCUUGAGUGAUUGUGGGGAUACAAUGAUGGGUGAACAGUGGAUUUUUCCAAGUCCCAACUGAAUCAGAAACAACUCCAAAACAAAUCAAAGAUUAUUGAAAGAGAUGGAGAGUUUUACAAAUUCAGUGUGUGAUGAUUAAUACAUUUGAGAGGAUAAAUAUCUUAUAAUAAUUACAAAGAAGAAAAGGAUGAUCACUGAUGUUUGUAGCUGAAAGUUCCAGUCCUUAGUGUAAUUUUUAAAAAUGGAAAUUCUGUAAGCUACCAAUAAUUUGUAAAGAUGUUUCUUCUUUGGCCAGUUACAAUAAUCUUCAAACACACUUACAAUGUUCACAGAUCAAAAACAAACAAACUGUUCUUCUUUUUAAAUAACAUAUAUAAUUUUCCACUUAUCCUCCUCGGAUCCACUACAAAAAAAACCUAUUUAUUUUGGGAAAUAUUGAGGUUUACUGACACACAGCAAUCAUAUUUGUUUAUAAAAUAUGUAAUUUUCAAAAUCCC
rnacentral:lncRNA from 1 species